GUCGAGCGGACAGAUGGGAGCUUGCUCCCUGAAGUCAGCGGCGGACGGGUGAGUAACACGUGGGCAACCUGCCUGUAAGACUGGGAUAACUUCGGGAAACCGGAGCUAAUACCGGAUAAUCCUUUUCCUUUCAUGAGGAAAAGCUGAAAGACGGUUUCGGCUGUCACUUACAGAUGGGCCCGCGGCGCAUUAGCUAGUUGGUGAGGUAACGGCUCACCAAGGCGACGAUGCGUAGCCGACCUGAGAGGGUGAUCGGCCACACUGGGACUGAGACACGGCCCAGACUCCUACGGGAGGCAGCAGUAGGGAAUCUUCCGCAAUGGACGAAAGUCUGACGGAGCAACGCCGCGUGAGUGAUGAAGGCCUUCGGGUCGUAAAGCUCUGUUGUUAGGGAAGAACAAGUAUCGGAGUAACUGCCGGUACCUUGACGGUACCUAACCAGAAAGCCACGGCUAACUACGUGCCAGCAGCCGCGGUAAUACGUAGGUGGCAAGCGUUGUCCGGAAUUAUUGGGCGUAAAGCGCGCGCAGGCGGUCCUUUAAGUCUGAUGUGAAAGCCCACGGCUCAACC
rnacentral:rRNA from 2 species